rnacentral:misc_RNA from 1 species
UUUCCGUAGGUGAACCUGCGGAAGGGUCAUUAAUGAGUUGUCAUGGGGUUCGAUGCUGGCAGCCAGUUUUUGGAUGCAUGUGCUUGCCCUAACAAUCAUCUUCUUCCAAACACCUGUGCACAUUUUUGAGGGAGUCUUGAGUUGGUUGCCGCUCUUGGGUGAUUUUCUCACAUUCCCAUAAAUCAUUAUACGCUAUUAACAAUGUUGAACGUGCUCUGUGCCGCAAGGCCAUUAAUAUAAUACAACUUUUAACAACGGAUCUCUUGGCUCUC